GAGAAGAGUUGAGUGAAGCCUGCAGAGAGGCCUCCUGGGAACAGAACAGUGCAUGGAGUCUCUCCACCCAGUCAUUCACUUCCUCCUCUACAUGCUCGCCUACUCCUGCGUCUACUCCUGUCUGUAUUUGUUGGUUUAUUUUAUUAGCAUCUUUACAGAGGAUUAGGCAACCCGCUGGACACAAGCCUCUUUGGGUACAGAAAACCCUACCCACUGCCCAUGGGGGAUUGCAGCUCCUACAAGUGAGGUGUGGAGGUCAUCGCAGCCACACGGGACAGGAACAACGUGACACUCUGGCCCAGGGUCCACUGGGAAGCUGUGCCUGUCCAGCGGAUGAAGGACUUAUCUAGCGUUUCUUGUU
rnacentral:lncRNA from 1 species